AAGUCAGACAGAGUGCUUCUAUUGUAAGAAGCAGGAUCAUUGGAAGAGAAAUUAUUCUCAAUACAUAGCUUCCCUUGAUCCAAACAGACCGAAGAAGAAGAAGCAAUCGGUUGUUGGACAUGGUAUUUAUAUGAUAAUACCUUGUAACUUCUCAAUUUUUGAUACAAUGACCUAGGUAUUGGAUACUGGUAGUCCUAUUAAUAUUUUCAAUUCAUUGCAGAGACUUCAGAUCAGUAGCAGAUUUGGAGACGGCG
rnacentral:lncRNA from 1 species